UACGGAGGGGGCGAGCGUUGUUCGGAAUCACUGGGUGUAAAGGGCGCGUAGGCGGCCAGCACAAGUCAGUUGUGAAAUCUCCGAGCUUAACUCGGAAAGGUCAACUGAUACUGUGCGGCUAGAGUGCAGAAGGGGCAACUGGAAUUCUUGGUGUAGCGGUGAAAUGCGUAGAUAUCAAGAGGAACACCUGCGGCGAAGGCGGCGACCUGGCCCUGACCUGACGCUGAGGCGCGAGAGCGUGGGGAGCGAACGGG
rnacentral:rRNA from 1 species